UUUUUUUUUUUUUCUUUUGUCUUUUUGCUAUUUCUCUGGGCUGCUCCCAUGGCAUAUGGAGAUUCCCAGGCUAGGGGUCGAAUCGGAGCUGUAGCCACCGGCCUACGCCAGAGCCACAGCAACGCGGGAUCCAAGCCGCGUCUGCAACCUACACCACAGCUCACGGCAACGCCGGAUCGUUAACCCACUGAGCAAGGGCAGAGACCGAACCCGCAACCUCAUGGUUCCUAGUCGGAUUCGUUAACCACUGCGCCACCUUCUUUAACUUUUUUAAUGGCCUUUGUUUUAAAGAGUAUUUUGACUCUUAUCCCCUCCAACCCUGCCUUUUUGUUGUUAUUUCCAUUCCCAUGAAAUACCACUGUCCAUCCCUUCAGUUUUAGUCAGUUUGUCUUUUGCCCUAAAGUGGGUCUCUUGUAGACAGCAUAAUGUAGGUUCUUGUUUUGUUAUCCAAUUUGCUACUCUAUGUCUUUUGAUUAGUGCAGUUUAGCUGACAUUAAGGUAAUUAUUGAUAGUUAUGUAUAUACUGCCAUUUUAAACCUUGUAUUCCAAUAGAUUUUGUAUUUCUUGUCUUUUGAAAUUUAUGUACAGUUUCUGUUAUAGUUUAAUUUGUAAUGCCUUAUUUUUCUGAGCUGUUUUAGGUUCACAACAAAAUUAAGAGGAAGUUACAGAGAGUUCCCAAAUACCCUCUGCUCUGGACAAAUUCAUAACCUUCUCCAUUAGCAACAUGCUUCACCAGAAAGUACUUUUGUUACAACUGAUGAACCUAUGUUGACACGUUUUAUCACCCAAAGUCCAUAGUCUAAUGUAGAGCUCACUUUUGGUGUUAUACAUUACAUAGGUUGUAUUUCUUAUUUGCUCCUUUUUUUUUCUUCUUUUGUAUUAUGUUUGAGUUCUUUUUGGUUUUUGUGCAUCUUUUGUAUGUUUUUGAUUGAUGAUUAACCUGGGUUUCAAGUAUGUUAUACCAUACCUAUGUGUUUUAGACUAGUAGUCAUAGGUCAAACACAUUUAAAAAGAAAAAUCUACAUUUUCUUACUCCCCUCCCCCACAUUUAUGAUUUUGACAUUUUAUAUCUUCAUGCUUAUUCUUUUGCUGUUCAUUGCAGUUAUAAUUGCUUUCACAACAUUUUUUAAUAUCUAUGCUGUCUUAAGUGAUCUACUAUCCUUUAUAUAUUUGCUUUUCCUAUUGUGAUUUUCCCUUUCCUGUAGAUUCUUCUUUUCUAUUUAGAGAAGACUUCAAUAUUUCUUUAGGAUAGGUUUACUGUAAUUAUGUUCUUUUAGUUUUUGCUUGUCUGAAAAAAUCUAUUUCUCCUUCUAUUCUAACUGAUAAUCUUGAUGGGUAGAGUAUCCUAGAUUGUAGGAUUUUCCUUUUUAGGGUUUUGAAAAUACCUUGCCACUCCAUUCUGGCUUGAAGUGUUUCUAUAGAGAAAUCAGGUGAUAGUCUUAUGAGGGUUCCCUUAUAAGUAACUCUUCACUUGUGUCUUGCUGCCUUUAGAAUUAUUAACUUCUUUCAUCUUAAUUAUGCUGUCUUGGUUUUGGUUGGUCUGUUUGCAUUCAUCUUGUUUGGGAUCCUCUGUGCUUCCUGUACAUGUAUGUCUGUUUCCUUCUUUAGGUUCGAGAAGUUUUUUGCCAUAAUUUCUCCAAGUACAUUUUUGAUCCUGUUUUCUCUUGCUUCUUUCUGGGAUCCCUAUUAUUCAGAUUGGCAUGCUUUAAAUUAUCCCUUAGACCUUUUACAUUGCUUUGUCUUCUAGAUCACUUAUUCUUCUGCGUAUUUUGCUGUCUUGCCUUUAGCUCAGGUCUGGUAGGCUGGAGAGAUGUUUCAUUGUUCUUGCAGGGGAUUUUUGUAUUUCUUUUUAUCGAGUAUAGUUUCUCUGCUUUUCCACUUUAUUCAUAUCCCUCUGCCUCACACUUAGGGGAAACACUUCUCUACUGUGGUCCUGAAGGGCUGUUUUUAUGUGGCAGCUUGUGAGUCCGUUAUUUUUGGUUCAAAGGUUCCCUUUUGUAUGAAUGUCUAUCACAUCUUUCCUCAGUGUGUGCUGGGCAUUACACUUUGAAUAGUGGGUGUGUGGUAUUGUGGUCACUAGAGCCUGUUCUGGAUGUUGAGUGGGGUUUCCUCUUUGCUCUGUAGUCGCCACAGCCCUUCAGGUGCAGGGUCUGCUCCCCAGUUGUUGUAGAAGGCUCCAGACCCUGUUCUAAGCUGCAGUGUGAGCUUGGUGGGACUGGAGUACUUGCUUUGGGAAAAGAGCCACUGCAUGUUCCUCCCCAGGAGCUGUCCACCAGGACACGUGCUCUGUGAUGUCACUUGUCACCCACUUGGGUGCUCAAAAAGUACACUGUUGUUGGCACUGCCCCUGGCCUGUGCACACCCCAAAAGACUGUUACUGCUGGUGCUGGAUCUGCCUCACCUGCAGGAGUCCUGGUAAGUUAUCAGAUCAGAUGUCCCCCAGGUGCUGCCACUAACUUAAAUCCUCUGAAAUUGUACACCCACUGAGAAUUGACUCAACUUUAAGCCCUGUCUCCAUGUGUGGGCAACCCAUUGGCAUGUACUCCCAAAGCUCAUAGUGGCUGAGCUACACCCACAGUGAGCAAGCCAAGAGUGAGGCUGCUGUGGCAGACCUAUGCCCCUCCUUUCACACAUGCAUUACCAGUGGGGCUCAUGAUAGUAGCCCUGGGCUUUGUCCUGUGCACACCCUCAAGUGCAGCCUGUGCCAGUUCUGGCUCUACAGGCUCUCUUCACCCAGUCCAGCCAUCUUCCCCCCAGGUCUGCCCACUGAAGCCCAGGGUUCAGCACCCAGUCGCCGUGCACAUCAGCAGGUGCUCAACUCAGGCUGGGAAGUGCAGCAAAGACGGCAAGAACUGUUUCUGCUGGUAUCUACCCUCCUGUUGCACUCUCCUCAGAGCCUAUCUGUACGAGCAGCCCAGCAGAUCUCCCUGCUUUUACAACUGUCACAAGGAACCUUUCACAACUCCUUCCCAGGGGUGCAGGUCCCAUUCUGAUUCCUUUUUUUCAUCCUACCUAGUUAUGUGCUGAUCUUUCUGGGCACUCUGGUAUUUUUUGAUGUAUUUGUGUGAAGAGGUGAGCUCCACUUCCUUCUAUUCACCAUCUUGAUCUCUGUUCCCAGGUUUUUAUUUAGCUUCUAAAUUGUUAAAUUUUACAUGGUUCUAAAGUCAAAACUAUAGAAAGUUUCCUUCUCUUUCCUUUCCCUCCUUGUAACCAUGUUUUUAAUUGGUUUUGGGUUUAUGCUUCCAGUUUCCUUUUGAAAUAUAUGCAAGUAUACAUGUAUGUAUAUGCAAACACAUAAAUGUUAUUCACGUUUUUCCCUCUGACAGUAAAGUAGUUAAAUAUACUGUAAAUAAUGAUCUGCAUGCACUUUGCUUUUCCACCAGGUAUGGGUUAGGGUUAGGGUUAGUACACAGAAUCAUUUAUUGAAGACUCAGUAUUUCUUGUCUGGAUGUACCAAAGUACGUCUGCUGAGCUAGUUCUCUAUGUCCUAUGAAUUCAUGCUUGGGUAUUUCUGAUCUUUUGCAGGUAUCACUCCAUAUUUCUGCCAGUAUUAUCUUUGGGAAAAAGCCUAGAAGCAGAAUUGUGAGUCAGAGAAUAAAUGCAUAUAUAAUUCGGGUAGAUAUCCCAACUAUUUUACACAAGUUUUAAGCUCAACAUUUACAUUCCAUUCCCUCAUAUGUAUUUCCCUAUAACCUUUAGAAUUUUUCCAGUAAAAUGUAAAAUGCAGGUUUUUAAAAUUAUUUCUCUGAACAAGGUAUGCAUCUUUUUAUAUGUCACUUGUAUUUCUUCUUGUAAUGAACUGUUAGUAAUUUAGGAAUCCUCUUAAUGUGUCAUGUUCUGGUUAUAUGGGGUUUUCUUGCCAUUUACACAUUUUUUAAUGUAGUUAAAAUUACCUAUUACUUCUACAUUUUAAGUCACAUAGUAUGGUUUUCCCUCACCCUUAGGUUAUAGUGGAGUCCAUAUCUUCCAGUACUCAUGACUUCAUUUUUACAUUUAGGUCGUUGGAAUGUAUCCAUGUAGCAAUUUUUAGUUAUCUCAAUUAAGAGCCCAUUUCUUUCCCACAGCUUUGAAAUGCUGUUUAAUACACCUUAGGUCUUUUCCUAUUUUGUUCCAUUGAUCUGCUUAUUCAUGUGCCGACAUAGCUUUAAUUUUAGUUUUAUAAUGUGUUCAAUAUUUAGUAAUAGCUAUCCUAUAUAACGACUGUUUGUUAAUUAUUUUAGGCUUUCUAGGGCCACACCCAGGGCACAUGGAGGUUCCCAGGGUAGGGGUCUAAUUGGAGCUACAGCUGCCAGCCUAUGCCACAGCUCACGGCAACGCCAGAUCCUUAACCCACUGAGCAAGGCCAGAGAUGGAACCCGCAACCUCAUAGUUCCUAGUCAGAUUGGUUUCCACUGUGCCACGACAGGAACCCAUAUGUUAAUUUUAAACCCCACCACAUUUUACACUACUACUUUUACCAAACCUUGAUUAUUAAUUUUUGUAGUUUUAGAUUUUUCUUUUAUGCGUUUUAAUUUGCUUUCUCUUAUCGAACUGCACUGGCAGAUGCUUGCAAUAUAACAUAGUUAUGAAGAUCAUUGGCAUCUUGUUCUUACUUCUGAUUUUAGGGGGACUAUACCCUCCAAAAUAAGUAAUUUCCCCCAAAACCUGACUUUUCUGACAUACUCCUGAACAGACAGUAAAGCUACUCCACAGAAUAAAAACCUGACUUUCACUGAACAUAGGAAGAGAUAUGAUUUUCACAUUUAUUUUUGCUUUAUAGUUACUGUUUUCAAGCUAUCUGAUUGAGAGCAAAACUUAACUGGUACCAUACAAAAAACUGGUACUACAGAAAAAACAAAUGUAUUUUGGGAGUAUCCAUGAAGAUGCAGGUUUGACCCCUGGCCUCGCUCAGUGGAUUGGGGAUCUGGUAUUGCCAUGAGCUGUGUGCAGGUGUGGCCCUAAAAAGCAAAAAAAACCAAAAAAACCCAAAUACAUCAUACAUCAACCUUUCUAUAACAGUGUUCAAACACAGGUCCAAACUUGAAUUUUAUGCAAAAAAUUCACGUUUUAUUUUUAUUUAUUCUUACAUUGGUGGUAGCUGACGUCAGGAGCUGAGUCAGGAACUGAAAGGCAAGCAAUGACUUAUUUUCUACCUCUUAGCUGAACAGAAAUACACACAAUAUGGCAUUUUCAUUAGGCAACGCUUGCUUUUUUACAUUUCACACUGGACUGCAACAUUACCCUUUCUUGAAGGAAAUGACCCACUUACUAAGGAAAACCAUCUUUGGAGGAAGUGUUUAAUAAGUGUUAUUUUAAAAUAAAUUUUCCAAU
rnacentral:lncRNA from 1 species